ensembl:snoRNA
GAGCAAUGAUGAAAAGGUUUUACUACUGACCUUUAAAUCUAUAAAGGCUUCUAUACUUGAUCUGAGCUCA